rnacentral:rRNA from 1 species
UAGGGAAUCUUCGGCAAUGGACGAAAGUCUGACCGAGCAACGCCGCGUGAGUGAAGAAGGUUUUCGGAUCGUAAAACUCUGUUGUUAGAGAAGAACAAGGACGUUAGUAACUGAACGUCCCCUGACGGUAUCUAACCAGAAAGCCACGGCUAACUACGUGCCAGCAGCCGCGGUAAUACGUAGGUGGCAAGCGUUGUCCGGAUUUAUUGGGCGUAAAGCGAGCGCAGGCGGUUUCUUAAGUCUGAUGUGAAAGCCCCCGGCUCAACCGGGGAGGGUCAUUGGAAACUGGGAGGCUUGAGUGCAGAAGAGGAGAGUGGAAUUCCAUGUGUAGCGGUGAAAUGCGUAGAUAUAUGGAGGAACACCAGUGGCGAAGGCGGCUCUCUGGUCAGUAACUGACGCUGAGGCUCGAAAGCGUGGGGAGCAAACAGG